rnacentral:misc_RNA from 1 species
CGACCCUCAAGCUCUGCUUGGUAUUGGGCUCUGCCGGUCCUGGCAGGCCUCAAAGUCAGUGGCGGUGCCAUCCGGCUCCAAGCGUGGUAAUUCUUCUCGCAUCGGAGGCCGCGGUGCGUGCUAGCCAGCAACCCCCAAUUUUUUUCA